GAGAAAUGGCUGAGUGGUUAAAGGCGGCAGACUGUAAAUUUGUUGAAAUAAUUUCUACGU
rnacentral:tRNA from 1 species